UACGUAGGGGGCAAGCGUUGUCCGGAAUCAUUGGGCGUAAAGAGCGUGUAGGCGGCCCGGUAAGUCCGCUGUGAAAGUCCAGGGCUCAACCCUGGGAUGCCGGUGGAUACUGUCGGGCUCGAGUCCGGAAGAGGCGAGUGGAAUUCCUGGUGUAGCGGUGAAAUGCGCAGAUAUCAGGAGGAACACCAAUGGCGAAGGCAGCUCGCUGGGACGGUACUGACGCUGAGACGCGAAAGCGUGGGGGAGCAAACAGG
rnacentral:rRNA from 1 species